rnacentral:rRNA from 1 species
AUUGAACGCUGACGGCAUGCCUUACACAUGCAAGUCGAACGGCAGCACGGGAGCUUGCUCCUGGUGGCGAGUGGCGAACGGGUGAGUAAUACAUCGGAACGUACCCAGGAGUGGGGGAUAACGUAGCGAAAGUUACGCUAAUACCGCAUAUUCUGUGAGCAGGAAAGCGGGGGAUCGCAAGACCUCGCGCUCUUGGAGCGGCCGAUGUCGGAUUAGCUAGUUGGUGAGGUAAAAGCUCACCAAGGCGACGAUCCGUAGCAGGUCUGAGAGGAUGAUCUGCCACACUGGGACUAAGACACGGCCCAGACUCCUACGGGAGGCAGCAGUGGGGAAUUUUGGACAAUGGGGGCAACCCUGAUCCAGCCAUGCCGCGUGAGUGAAGAAGGCCUUCGGGUUGUAAAGCUCUUUCGGCGGGGAAGAAAUGGCAACGGCUAAUAUCCGUUGUUGAUGACGGUACCCGCAUAAGAAGCACCGGCUAACUACGUGCCAGCCGCCGCGGUAA